rnacentral:pre_miRNA from 1 species
UUUGUACUCCCGCCGUCCCAAAAUUCUUGUCUUAAAUUUGUCUAAAUACGGAUGUAUCUAGUUACAUUUUAGUGUUAGAUACAUCUGUAUCUAAACAAAUGUAAGACAUGAAUUUUGGGACGGAGGGAAUACUAC